CCUGGAAAUGGCCCUUGAGGGGAAAAAUAAUGAAUGCAGGAAGCAAGACUAAAAACGUGUACAAUUACAUGAUUUAAAAGAUUUUGCAAGAAAACCCACCAUGGUAUCAAGCCGAUUAUCAGAAGACCAGCAAGUACAACGCUUUCCCGGGAACGUUUUGGUAAUAGGACUUUCAAACUAGCAACUUGAGUCAAAGUAAGAAACAUGCUUUGGCUCUGAGGACCCAUCAGCUAAUAUUAACACGGGAAAGAGAAAGAACAGGUUGACAGGAAGCCCCAGCUCUCCCCUGAUUCCAUUCAGGAGAUCAUUAAGGAAGGAGUCUUGCUGUAAAGUACACCUUUUUUCCUCCGAUGACAGUGACAACCAGGGCGACUUGAGUCAGGGGCCAACCAGCUCUCCUUUGACAAACAAACACCCACUCUGGCUUUACUGACUGAGCCGUGUUCUCAGCCUCACCUUGAAGAAUCUCAACUGGAGUUCUGACACUACCGUGAGGUGAGCACUAAGCACCUAUCUACUAUUGUUCCAGCUUUACCUUUGAUGAAGAAAGAUCUAAGAAAAGCCAGAUUCUCAACCUGACCCCAAUGGUAAGAGGCAGAACAGAUGCAAACCCAGACUUGAACUCAAAGUAGUUUCCCACUGUCAUGCACGAGGGAAUGUUGGCCAAUGCCCCAUCAUUCAUUUGGUCAAUGCUUCAAAAGCGCUAGUUCUUAGUGUUCUCUGUGACAGUUAUCCUGCAUGACCAGUGACAAACCUGUAUUUUAGGCCCCUGUCAAAG
rnacentral:lncRNA from 1 species